rfam:Capsicum annuum cultivar Zunla-1 chromosome 1, whole genome shotgun sequence
GUUCAUUCAGAGACCUUCAAUAAAAUUGAAACGAUACAGAGUAGAUCAGCAUGGCUCAUGUGCAACGAUGAGAAGCACAAAUCCAGAAAUGGUCCAAAUUCUU